rnacentral:rRNA from 1 species
AGAUUGAACGCUGGCGGCAUGCCUAACACAUGCAAGUCGAACGGGAGUAGCAAUACUCUAGUGGCGGACGGGUGAGGAAUACGUAGGAAUUUGCCCUUAAGUGGGGGAUAACCCGGGGAAACCCGGAUUAAUACCGCAUGACCUCGAAAGAGCAAAGUGGGGGAUCGCAAGACCUCACGCUUUUGGAGAAGCCUACGUCGGAUUAGCUAGUUGGUGAGGUAAUGGCUCACCAAGGCGACGAUCCGUAACUGGUCUGAGAGGAUGAUCAGUCACACCGGAACUGAGACACGGUCCGGACUCCUACGGGAGCAGCAGGUGGGGAAUA